GAUUGCCCUAGUAACGGCGAGUGAAGCGGCAACAGCUCAAAUUUGAAAUCUGGCGCAAGCCCGAGUUGUAAUUUGUAGAGGAUGUUUCUGGCGACGUGCCUUCCGAGUUCCCUGGAACGGGACGCCAUAGAGGGUGAGAGCCCCGUACGGUUGGAUGCCUAGCCUCUGUGAAACUCCUUCGACGAGUCGAGUAGUUUGGGAAUGCUGCUCUAAAUGGGAGGUAUACGUCUUCUAAAGCUAAAUACCGGCCAGAGACCGAUAGCGCACAAGUAGAGUGAUCGAAAGAUGAAAAGCACUUUGAAAAGAGGGUUAAAAAGUACGUGAAAUUGUUGAAAGGGAAGCGUUCAUGACCAGACUUGGGCAGGUUGAUCAUCCGUGGUUCUCCGCGGUGCACUCUGCCUGCCCAGGCCAGCAUCAGUUCGCCCCGGGGGAUAAAGGUUUUGGGAAUGUGGCUCCCUCGGGAGUGUUAUAGCCCACUGCGUAAUACCCUGGGGUGGACUGAGGUUCGCGCUCUGCAAGGAUGCUGGCGUAAUGGUCAUCAACGACCCGUCUUGAAACACGGACCAAGGAGUCGUCUUCGUAUGCGAGUGUUCGGGUGUCAAACCCCUACGCGUAAUGAAAGUGAACGUAGGAGAGAGCUUCGGCGCAUCUCCGACCGAUCCUGAUGUUCUCGGAUGGAUUUGAGUAAGAGCAUACGGGGCCGGACCCGAAAGAAGGUGAACUAUGCCUGUAUAGGGUGAAGCCAGAGGAAACUCUGGUGGAGGCUCGCAGCGGUUCUGACGUGCAAAUCGAUCGUCAAAUAUGGGCAUGG
rnacentral:rRNA from 1 species